rnacentral:tRNA from 1 species
UCCACAGUAGCUCAGUCGUAGAGCUAUCGGCUGUUAACCGAUCGGUCGUAGGUUCGAGUCCUACCUGUGGAGCCA